UACGAAGGGGGCUAGCGUUGCUCGGAAUUACUGGGCGUAAAGCGCACGUAGGCGGAUUGUUAAGUCGGGGGGGAAAUCCUGGAGCUCAACUCCAGAACUGCCUUCGAUACUGGCGAUCUCGAGUUCGGGAGAGGUGAGUGGAACUGCGAGUGUAGAGGUGAAAUUCGUAGAUAUUCGCAAGAACACCAGUGGCGAAGGCGGCUCACUGGCCCGAUACUGACGCUGAGGUGCGAAAGCGUGGGGAGCAAACAGG
rnacentral:rRNA from 1 species